rnacentral:rRNA from 1 species
UCGAGGGGAAACGACAUCGAAAGCUUGCUUUUGAUGGGCGUCGACCGGCGCACGGGUGAGUAACGCGUAUCCAACCUGCCCACCACUUGGGGAUAACCUUGCGAAAGUAAGACUAAUACCCAAUGAUAUCUCUAGAAGACAUCUGAAAGAGAUUAAAGAUUUAUCGGUGAUGGAUGGGGAUGCGUCCGAUUAGCUUGACGGCGGGGUAACGGCCCACCGUGGCAACGAUCAGUAGGGGUUCUGAGAGGAAGGUCCCCACAUUGGAACUGAGACACGGUCCAAACUCC